CGGUGAAUACGUUCCCGGGUCUUGUACACACCGCCCGUCACUACCAUGGAAGGUUGGUUCUGCCUUAAGUCGCCCUUAAAGCGCCCACGGCAGGGUCAAUGACUGGGGUG
rnacentral:rRNA from 1 species